rnacentral:rRNA from 1 species
GAAUUGCAGAAUUCCGCGAAUCAUCGAGUUUUUGAACGCAAGUUGCGCCCGAGGCUCGUUCCGAGGGCAUGCCCGUCUGAGCGUCCG